AUACGUAGGGGGCGAGCGUUGUCCGGAAUGAUUGGGCGUAAAGGGCGCGUAGGCGGCCCGGUAAGUCUGAAGUGAAAGUCCUGGUUUUAAGCUGGGAAUUGCUUUGGAUACUGUCGGGCUUGAGUGCAGGAGAGGUAAGUGGAAUUCCCAGUGUAGCGGUGAAAUGCGUAGAGAUUGGGAGGAACACCAGUGGCGAAGGCGACUUACUGGACUGUAACUGACGCUGAGGCGCGAAAGUGUGGGGAGCAAACAGGAUUAGAUACCCUUGUAGUCCACACUGUAAACGAUGAAUGCUAGGUGUAGGGGGUAUCGACCCCUUCUGUGCCGCAGUCAACACAAUAAGCAUUCCGCCUGGGGAGUACGGCCGCAAGGUUGAAACUCAAAUGAAUUGACGGGG
rnacentral:rRNA from 1 species